UGGGUUGUGGCUCAGUGGUACACUGCUCAUCUAGCAUUUGUGAGGCACUGGGUUCAAUUCUCAGCACCACAU
rnacentral:tRNA from 1 species